AGAGUUUGAUCCUGGCUCAGAUUGAACGCUGGCGGCAGGCUUAACACAUGCAAGUCGAGCGGAAACGAUGGUAGCUUGCUACCAGGCGUCGAGCGGCGGACGGGUGAGUAAUACUUAGGAAUCUACCUAGUAGUGGGGGAUAGCACGGGGAAACUCGUAUUAAUACCGCAUACGACCUACGGGAGAAAGGGGGCAGUUUACUGCUCUCGCUAUUAGAUGAGCCUAAGUCGGAUUAGCUAGAUGGUGGGGUAAAGGCCUACCAUGGCGACGAUCUGUAGCUGGUCUGAGAGGAUGAUCAGCCACACCGGGACUGAGACACGGCCCGGACUCCUACGGGAGGCAGCAGUGGGGAAUAUUGGACAAUGGGGGAAACCCUGAUCCAGCCAUGCCGCGUGUGUGAAGAAGGCCUUUUGGUUGUAAAGCACUUUAAGCAGUGAAGAAGACUCUUCGGUUAAUACCCGGAGACGAUGACAUUAGCUGCAGAAUAAGCACCGGCUAACUCUGUGCCAGCAGCCGCGGUAAUACAGAGGGUGCAAGCGUUAAUCGGAAUUACUGGGCGUAAAGCGAGCGUAGGUGGCUUGAUAAGUCAGAUGUGAAAUCCCCGGGCUUAACCUGGGAACUGCAUCUGAAACUGUUAGGCUAGAGUAGGUGAGAGGGAAGUAGAAUUUCAGGUGUAGCGGUGAAAUGCGUAGAGAUCUGAAGGAAUACCGAUGGCGAAGGCAGCUUCCUGGCAUCAUACUGACACUGAGGCUCGAAAGCGU
rnacentral:rRNA from 1 species